UGGGGAAUAUUGCACAAUGGGCGAAAGCCUGAUGCAGCAACGCCGCGUGAGUGAUGAAGGUCUUCGGAUUGUAAAGCUCUGUCUUUUGGGACGAUAAUGACGGUACCAAAGGAGGAAGCCACGGCUAACUACGUGCCAGCAGCCGCGGUAAUACGUAGGUGGCGAGCGUUGUCCGGAUUUACUGGGCGUAAAGGGUGCGUAGGCGGAUGUUUAAGUGAGAUGUGAAAUACCCGGGCUUAACUUGGGUGCUGCAUUUCAAACUGGAUAUCUAGAGUGCAGGAGAGGAGAAUGGAAUUCCUAGUGUAGCGGUGAAAUGCGUAGAGAUUAGGAAGAACACCAGUGGCGAAGGCGAUUCUCUGGACUGUAACUGACGCUGAGGCACGAAAGCGUGGGUAGCAAACAGGAUUAGAUACCCUGGUAGUCCACGCCGUAAACGAUGAGUACUAGGUGUAGGAGGUAUCGACCCCCUUCUGUGCCGCAGUAAACACAUUAAGUACUCCGCCUGG
rnacentral:rRNA from 1 species